rnacentral:rRNA from 1 species
ACGCUCGACACCUACGGGGAGGCAGCAGUAGGGAAUCUUCCACAAUGGACGCAAGUCUGAUGGAGCAACGCCGCGUGAGUGAAGAAGGUCUUCGGAUCGUAAAACUCUGUUGUUAGAGAAGAACACGAGUGAGAGUAACUGUUCAUUCGAUGACGGUAUCUAACCAGCAAGUCACGGCUAACUACGUGCCAGAAGCCGCGGUAAUCUGAGCGGGCUGGCAAGGC